rnacentral:rRNA from 1 species
CGUUGAAAAGUGAGCGGAUGAACUGAGGGUAGCGGAGAAAUUCCAAUCGAACUUGGAGAUAGCUGGUUCUCUCCGAAAUAGCUUUAGGGCUAGCCUCAAGUGAUGAUUAUUGGAGGUAGAGCACUGUUUGGACGAGGGGCCCCUCUCGGGUUACCGAAUUCAGACAAACUCCGAAUGCCAAUUAAUUUAACUUGGGAGUCAGAACAUGGGUGAUAAGGUCCGUGUUCGAAAGGGAAACAGCCCAGACCACCAGCUAAGGUCCCAAAAUAUAUGUUAAGUGGAAAAGGAUGUGGCGUUGCCCAGACAACUAGGAUGUUGGCUUAGAAGCAGCCAUCAUUUAAAGAGUGCGUAAUAGCUCACUAGUCGAGUGACACUGCGCCGAAAAUGUACCGGGGCUAAACAUAUUACCGAAGCUGUGGAUUGUCCUUUGGACAAUGGUAGGAGAGCGUUCUAAGGGCGUCGAAGCAUGAUCGCAAGGACAUGUGGAGCGCUUAGAAGUGAGAAUGCCGGUGUGAGUAG